GACGAACGCUGGCGGCGUGCUUAACACAUGCAAGUCGAACGGAAAGGCCCUUCGGGGUACUCGAGUGGCGAACGGGUGAGUAACACGUGGGUGAUCUGCCCUGCACUUUGGGAUAAGCCUGGGAAACUGGGUCUAAUACCGAAUAUGAUCAUCGGCUUCAUGGUCGGUGGUGGAAAGCUUUUGCGGUGUGGGAUGGGCCCGCGGCCUAUCAGCUUGUUGGUGGGGUAAUGGCCUACCAAGGCGACGACGGGUAGCCGGCCUGAGCGGGUGACCGGCCACACUGGGACUGAGAUACGGCCCAGACUCCUACGGGAGGCAGCAGUGGGGAAUAUUGCACAAUGGGCGCAAGCCUGAUGCAGCGACGCCGCGUGAGGGAUGACGGCCUUCGGGUUGUAAACCUCUUUCAGCACAGACGAAGCGCAAGUGACGGUAUGUGCAGAAGAAGGACCGGCCAACUACGUG
rnacentral:rRNA from 1 species